rnacentral:miRNA from 1 species
CAGUUAAAUUUGAAUUUCAGGUAAACAACAAAUAUUUUUAGUAUAAAUAUAUCCCGUGCAAUAUUUGGGACAUACUUAUACUAAAAAAAAAG